rnacentral:rRNA from 1 species
GAUGAACGCUGGCGGCGUGCCUAAUACAUGCAAGUCGAGCGAACGGACGAUAAGCUUGCUUUUCUGAUGUUAGCGGCGGACGGGUGAGUAACACGUGGAUAACCUACCUAUAAGACUGGGAUAACUUCGGGAAACCGGAGCUAAUACUGGAUAAUAUUUUGAACCGCAUGGUUCAAAAGUGAAAGACGGUCUUGCUGUCACUUAUAGCUGGUUCCGCGCUGGAUUAGCUAGUUGGUAAGGUAACGGCUUACCAAGGCAACGAUGCAUAGCCGACCUGAGAGGGUGAUCAGCCACACUGGAACUGAGACACGGUCCAGACUCCUACGGGAGGCAGCAGUAGGGAAUAUUGCGCAAUGGGCGAAAGCCUGACGGAGCCACGCCGCGUGAGUGAUGAAGGUCUUCGGAUCGUAAAACUCUGUUAUUGGGGAAGAACAUAUGUGUAAGUAACUGUGCACAUCUUGACGGUACCUAAACAGAAAGCAACGGCUAACUACGUG